rnacentral:rRNA from 1 species
AGAAUCAACGCUGGCGGCGUGCCUAACACAUGCAAGUCGAACGAGAAAGUGGAGCAAUCCAUGAGUAAAGUGGCGCACGGGUGAGUAACACGUGACUAACCUACCCUCGAGUGGGGAAUAACUUCGGGAAACCGAGGCUAAUACCGCAUAAAAACCUAAGGGUCAAAGGAGCAAUCCGUUUGAGGAGGGGGUCGCGGCAGAUUAGUUAGUUGGCGGGGUAAUGGCCCACCAAGACGAUGAUCUGUAUCCGGCCUGAGAGGGCGCACGGACACACUGGAACUGAAACACGGUCCAGACUCCUACGGGAGGCAGCAGUGGGGAAUUUGCGCAAUGGGGGAAACCCUGACGCAGCAACGCCGCGUGGAGGAUGAAAUCCCUUGGGAUGUAAACUCCUUUCGAUCGGGAAGAUAAUGACGGUACGGAAGAAGAAGCCCGGCUAACUUCGCGCCAGCAGCCGC